rnacentral:tRNA from 1 species
GGAGGUUUAGCUCAGUUGGUUAGAGCCCCCGACUCAUAAUCGGUUGGUCGUAGGUUCGAGUCCUACAACCUCCACCA